AGAAAACGUCGCCGGAUAAUGCGAGGGUGAUUACCAGCAUACUUGAUAUGUGGAAGUCGCACCGGGGGUUUUCUUCUUU
rnacentral:ncRNA from 1 species